GAGAGAUUUGUAAACGAGAGUUGGUGAGAGAUCUCCAUUGAAGAGCACCAUUGUAACCUCUUAAAACAUUAGAUAGUGGAUUUGGCUUGUGAGGAGCAAAUCCUCACCGAGACGUACCUCAACGUUGCGAAUUGCAACAGAGGGAACUCGUAAAUCUCGUGUUCUUAGUUUCUUCUUUAUCUCGUAAU
rnacentral:sRNA from 1 species